AACAUCGCCUCUUGCAAUAUUCAAUGUAUAAGAGGUCCUACCUGCCCAGUGAUUAAAUUAAACGGCCGCGGUAUCCUGACCGUGCAAAGGUAGCGCAAUCACUUGUUUUUUAAAUAAAGACCUGUAUGAAUGGUAUAACGAGGGCUUAACUGUCUCCCCUCUCCAGUCAGUGAAAUUGAUCUACCCGUGCAGAAGCGGGUAUACAUAUACAAGACGAGAAGACCCUAUGGAGCUUAAGACAUAAGAUCAACUGUGUUAAGACUACUAAUUAAAGGAAUUAAACAAAACAAAAACUGACCAGAGUCUUCGAUUGGGGUAAUCGCGGGGGAAAAUCAAUCCCCCAUGUAGAAUAAGAUAUUCUUUAAACCAUGAGGCACACCUCUAAGUCACAGAACUUCUGACCAAAAGAUCCGACACUAGUCGAUCAACGAACCAAGUUACCCUAGGGAUAACAGCGCAAUCCUCUCCAAGAGUCCAUAUCUACAAGAGGGUUUACGACCUCGAUGUUGGAUCAGGACAUCCUAAUGGUGCAGCCGCUAUUAAGGGUUCGUUUGUUCAACGAUUAAAGUCCUACGUGAUC
rnacentral:rRNA from 1 species